rnacentral:rRNA from 1 species
UACGUAGGGUGCAAGCGUUGUCCGGAAUUAUUGGGCGUAAAGAGCUCGUAGGCGGUUUGUCGCGUCUGCUGUGAAAUCCCAGGGCUUAACCCUGGGCCUGCAGUGGGUACGGGCAAACUAGAGUGCGGUAGGGGAGAUCGGAAUUCCUGGUGUAGCGGUGAAAUGCGCAGAUAUUCGGAAGAACACCAGUGGCGAAGGCGACUUACUGGACACAUAUUGACGCUGAGGUGCGAAAGCGUGGGGAGCAAACAGG